rnacentral:rRNA from 1 species
GAAAGCUUUUGUGGUUUUGGAUGGACUCGCGGCCUAUCAGCUUGUUGGUGAGGUAAUGGCUCACCAAGGCGACGACGGGUAGCCGGCCUGAGAGGGUGACCGGCCACACUGGGACUGAGACACGGCCCAGACUCCUACGGGAGGCAGCAGUGGGGAAUAUUGCACAAUGGGCGGAAGCCUGAUGCAGCGACGCCGCGUGAGGGAUGACGGCCUUCGGGUUGUAAACCUCUUUCAGUAGGGAAGAAGCGAAAGUGACGGUACCUGCAGAAGAAGCGCCGGCUAACUACGUGCCAGCAGCCGCGGUAAUACGUAGGGCGCAAGCGUUAUCCGGAAUUAUUGGGCGUAAAGAGCUCGUAGGCGGUUUGUCGCGUCUGCCGUGAAAGUCCGGGGCUCAACUCCGGAUCUGCGGUGGGUACGGGCAGACUAGAGUGAUGUAGGGGAGACUGGAAUUCCUGGUGUAGCGGUGAAAUGCGCAGAUAUCAGGAGGAACACCGAUGGCGAAGGCAGGUCUCUGGGCAUUAACUGACGCUGAGGAGCGAAAGCAUGGGGAGCGAACAGGAUUAGAUACCCUGGUAGUCCAUGCCGUAAACGUUGGGCACUAGGUG